rnacentral:rRNA from 1 species
UACGUAGGGAGCAAGCGUUGUCCGGAAUCAUUGGGCGUAAAGCGCGCGUAGGUGGCCCCAUAAGUCCGCUGUGAAAGUCAAAGGCUCAACCUUUGAAAGCCGGUGGAUACUGUGGGACUAGAGUACGGAAGAGGCGAGUGGAAUUCCUGGUGUAGCGGUGAAAUGCGCAGAUAUCAGGAGGAACACCAAUGGCGAAGGCAGCACUCUGGGACGUGACUGACGCUGAGACGCGAAAGCGUGGGGAGCAAACAGG